rnacentral:rRNA from 2 species
ACAAGUGACCCCGGUCUAACCACCGGGAUGUUCAUAACCCUUUGUUGUCCGACUCUGUUGCCUCCGGGGCGACCCUGCCUUCGGGCGGGGGCUCCGGGUGGACACUUCAAACUCUUGCGUAACUUUGCAGUCUGAGUAAAUUUAAUUAAUAAAUUAAAACUUUUAACAACGGAUCUCUUGGUUCUGGCAUCGAUGAAGAACGCAGCGAAAUGCGAUAAGUAAUGUGAAUUGCAGAAUUCAGUGAAUCAUCGAAUCUUUGAACGCACAUUGCGCCCCCUGGUAUUCCGGGGGGCAUGCCUGUUCGAGCGUCAUUUCACCACUCAAGCCUCGCUUGGUAUUGGGCAACGCGGUCCGCCGCGUGCCUCAAAUCGACCGGCUGGGUCUUCUGUCCCCUAAGCGUUGUGGAAACUAUUCGCUAAAGGGUGCUCGGGAGGCUACGCCGUAAAACAAACCCAUUUCUAAGGUUGACCUCGGAUCAGGUAGGGAUACCCGCUGAACUUAAGCAUAUCAA